GGGGGAACUAGAGGGGUUACUGCUAAUAAUUCUGUGUCAGUUAAAUCUGACUUCUCCUU
rnacentral:tRNA from 1 species